UACGGGGGGAGCAAGCGUUGUUCGGAUUUACUGGGCGUAAAGGGCGGGUAGGCGGCCACCGCAAGUCAGUUGUGAAAUCUCUGGGCUUAACCCAGAAAGGUCAACUGAUACUGCGGGGCUAGAGUGCAGAAGGGGCAACUGGAAUUCUCGGUGUAGCGGUGAAAUGCGUAGAUAUCUGGAGGAAUACCGGUGGCGAAGGCGGCAUCCUGGACCGACAUUGACGCUGAUGAGCGAAAGCUAGGGGAGCAAACGGG
rnacentral:rRNA from 1 species